CAGCCGCCGCGGGAAUACGAGGGGAGCUAGCGUUGUUCGGAAUUACUGGGCGUAAAGCGCGCGUAGGCGGCUUUUUAAGUCAGAGGUGAAAGCCCGGGGCUCAACCCCGGAAUUGCCUUUGAAACUGGAAAGCUAGAAUCUUGGAGAGGUCAGUGGAAUUCCGAGUGUAGAGGUGAAAUUCGUAGAUAUUCGGAAGAACACCAGUGGCGAAGGCGACUGACUGGACAAGUAUUGACGCUGAGGUGCGAAAGCGUGGGGAGCAAACAGGAUUAGAUACCCCUGUAGUCCCUGUCUCUUAUAC
rnacentral:rRNA from 1 species